GAUGAACGCUGGCGGCGUGCUUAACACAUGCAAGUCGAACGGAGAUAUUAAAAAUGAAGUAAGGAGCUUGCUUCGGACGGAAUGAUUAAUAUCUUAGUGGCGGACGGGUGAGUAACGCGUGGAUAACCUGCCUUAUACUGGGGGAUAACACUUAGAAAUAGGUGCUAAUACUGCAUAAGCGCACAGCUUUGCAUGAAGUUGUGUGAAAAACUCCGGUGGUAUAAGAUGGAUCCGCGUCUGAUUAGCUAGUUGGUGGGGUAACGGCCCACCAAGGCGACGAUUAGUAGCCGGGCUGAGAGGGUGAACGGCCACAUUGGGACUGAGACACGGCCCAAACUCCUACGGGAGGCAGCAGUGGGGAAUAUUGCACAAUGGGGGAAACCCUGAUGCAGCGACGCCGCGUGAGUGAAGAAGUAUUUCGGUACGUAAAGCUCUAUCAGCAAGGAAGAAAAUGACGGUACUUGACUAAGAAGCCCCGGCUAACUACGUGCCAGCCGCCGCGGUAA
rnacentral:rRNA from 1 species